rnacentral:rRNA from 1 species
GACGAACGCUGGCGGCGUGCUUAACACAUGCAAGUCGAACGGAAAGGCCCUGCUUUUGUGGGGUGCUCGAGUGGCGAACGGGUGAGUAACACGUGAGUAACCUGCCCUUGACUUUGGGAUAACUUCAGGAAACUGGGGCUAAUACCGGAUAGGAGCUCCUGCUGCAUGGUGGGGGUUGGAAAGUUUCGGCGGUUGGGGAUGGACUCGCAGCUUAUCAGCUUGUUGGUGGGGUAGUGGCUUACCAAGGCUUUGACGGGUAGCCGGCCUGAGAGGGUGACCGGCCACAUUGGGACUGAGAUACGGCCCAGACUCCUACGGGAGGCAGCAGUGGGGAAUAUUGCACAAUGGGCGGAAGCCUGAUGCAGCAACGCCGCGUGGGGAUGACGGCCUUCGGGUUGUAAACCGCUUUCGCCUGUGACGAAGCGUGAGUGACGGUAAUGGGUAAAGAAGCACCGGCUAACUACGU